rnacentral:rRNA from 1 species
UACGUAGGGUGCAAGCGUUGUCCGGAAUUAUUGGGCGUAAAGAGCUCGUAGGCGGUUUGUCGCGUCUGCUGUGAAAACUCGGGGCUCAACUCCGAGCUUGCAGUGGGUACGGGCAGACUAGAGUGCGGUAGGGGAGACUGGAAUUCCUGGUGUAGCGGUGGAAUGCGCAGAUAUCAGGAGGAACACCGGUGGCGAAGGCGGGUCUCUGGGCCGUAACUGACGCUGAGGAGCGAAAGCUAGGGUAGCAAACGGG